GAUGAAGAACGCAGCGAAAUGCGAUAAGUAAUGUGAAUUGCAGAAUUCAGUGAAUCAUCGAAUCUUUGAACGCACAUUGCGCCCCCUGGUAUUCCGGGAGGCAUGCCUGUUCGAGCGUCAUUUCACCACUCAAGCCUCGCUUGGUAUUGGGCAACGCGGUCCGCCGCGUGCCUCAAAUCGACCGGCUGGGUCUUCUGUCCCCUAAGCGUUGUGGAAACUAUUCGCUAAAGGGUGUUCGGGAGGCUACGCCGUAAAACAACCCCAUUUCUAAGGUUGACCUCGGAUCAGGUAGGGAUACCCGCUGAACUUAAGCAUAUCAAUAAGCGGAGGA
rnacentral:misc_RNA from 1 species